rnacentral:rRNA from 1 species
AGAGAUGUGUGAUGACGCAUAUCAAUAAGCGGAGGAAAAGAAACUAACAAGGAUUCCCUUAGUAACGGCGAGUGAAGCGGGAAGAACUCAAAUUUGAAAUCUUCAAGGUUCUACCUUGACGAAUUGUAGUUUAUAGAAGUGUUUUCUGUUAGUGGAGUGGCAAAAGUUCUUUGGAAUAGGACAUCAUAGAGGGUGAGAAUCCCGUAUUUGGUCAUUCCUCCUAGCGUUGUGAUACACUUUCAACGAGUCGGAUUGUUUGGGAAUGCAGUCCAAAAUGGGUGGUAAAUUUCAUCUAAAGCUAAAUAUUGGCGAGAGACCGAUAGCGAACAAGUACCGUGAGGGAAAGAUGAAAAGAACUUUGAAAAGAGAGUUAAACAGUACGUGAAAUUAUCAAAAGGGAGGCGUUUGACACCAGUGUUGUUUUUCCGAAAAUCAAUUACGAAUGUUUUGUUUUUAAGGAGUUAUGACUUCAUCGGCUUGCUUCUUUCUUUACGAAACUUUCUUAAUGCACUUUUCGGUUAACAAGUCAACAUCAAUUUCUUUUGCUGUAAAAGGGUAUGAGGAAGGUGGCUUUAUUUCGGUAGAAAGUGUUUAUAGCCUUGUAGCCUCUGCAAGUCGGAGAGAUUGAGGUCUGCAGCGUAGAUCCUUCGGGGCUAGAUACGUUUGUGCUAAGUUAUAGCUUUUCAUAGACAACUUGUUGACUAUGUUUAGUCUUGUAGCUUACUCGCUGACGCUAUUUUACCUACGCUUAGGAUGUUGAACUCUAUCACACACAG